rnacentral:rRNA from 1 species
CCUGGCUCAGAACGAACGCUGGCGGCAGGCUUAACACAUGCAAGUCGAGCGCCCCGCAAGGGGAGCGGCAGACGGGUGAGUAACGCGUGGGAAUCUACCCUUGACUACGGAAUAACGCAGGGAAACUUGUGCUAAUACCGUAUGUGUCCUUCGGGAGAAAGAUUUAUCGGUCAAGGAUGAGCCCGCGUUGGAUUAGCUAGUUGGUGGGGUAAAGGCCUACCAAGGCGACGAUCCAUAGCUGGUCUGAGAGGAUGAUCAGCCACAUUGGGACUGAGACACGGCCCAAACUCCUACGGGAGGCAGCAGUGGGGAAUAUUGGACAAUGGGCGCAAGCCUGAUCCAGCCAUGCCGCGUGAGUGAUGAAGGCCCUAGGGUUGUAAAGCUCUUUCACCGGAGAAGAUAAUGACGGUA